UACGGUCAGAUCACUCUGAAACAGCAGAUGCCAUACGAUCACCGAUGUUAAGCAAAGUCGAUCCUGGUUAGUAUCUAGAUGGGUGACUGGUUGGGAAUACAAAGUGCUGUAA